CGGUUUAGCGUAACGGCUCCCCUGAAUGUAAUCUUGCUGCCGGUCGUGUGGUUCUACAUAGAC
rnacentral:ribozyme from 1 species